rnacentral:rRNA from 1 species
UGUGGGAUCAGUGGCGAACGGGUGAGUAACACGUGAGCAACCUGCCCCUGACUCUGGGAUAAGCGCUGGAAACGGCGUCUAAUACUGGAUAUGUGACGUGACCGCAUGGUCUGCGUCUGGAAAGAAUUUCGGUUGGGGAUGGGCUCGCGGCCUAUCAGCUUGUUGGUGAGGUAAUGGCUCACCAAGGCGUCGACGGGUAGCCGGCCUGAGAGGGUGACCGGCCACACUGGGACUGAGACACGGCCCAGACUCCUACGGGAGGCAGCAGUGGGGAAUAUUGCACAAUGGGCGCAAGCCUGAUGCAGCAACGCCGCGUGAGGGACGACGGCCUUCGGGUUGUAAACCUCUUUUAGCAGGGAAGAAGCGAAAGUGACGGUACCUGCAGAAAAAGCGCCGGCUAACUACGUGCCAGCAGCCGCGGUAAUACGUAGGGCGCAAGCGUUAUCCGGAAUUAUUGGGCGUAAAGAGCUCGUAGGCGGUUUGUCGCGUCUGCUGUGAAAUCCGGAGGCUCAACCUCCGGCCUGCAGUGGGUACGGGCAGACUAGAGUGCGGUAGGGGAGAUUGGAAUUC